rnacentral:lncRNA from 1 species
AAUCUUCAUAUUGUGAUCAAGAUCUUCUACAAAAGUAUGAGCAAGUACCUCAUUGGAUUGUUGGUGGUGUGGACAAUCUUGAAGAAGAGAUUUAAAGCAUUCCCAAGCAUGAUAGAGGUUUUUAUUAGGAUUUUAUUUGAAGCUCACUAUCUCAUUAUGAAGUCUCAUAGUCUUUACUAUUGAUAAGAAUCUAAUAAGGAACUUUCUGGCUAAGUCAUCC